GGUCGGUAAGCUCAGUCGGUAGAGCGUCGUGCUGAUAACGCGAAGGUCGUGGGUUCGAGCCCCACAUUGACCA
rnacentral:tRNA from 1 species